GGGGUAUUGUGUGUAGAUUGACAAUGGAAAACAAUUGAAUCAAUUUUAGAAUAAGGCUGUAAUGUAACAGAAUGUGGAAUAAAUCAAGGGGUCUGAAUAGUUUCUGAAGGCACUUUGUCUGUUCUGAAGUGUAUACAAAUACAAUAUACAAGUGGUUCGGUAUUUUCAACACACAAAUAUUUCUUAAGACAAGACGUAGUCCAUUUCUCCUCAACCCUCAACCAUAAAAGACUAUCAUUCAUGUUCUUGAUGUUAGUUAUAUGUGUGUAGUUAAAGGGCAAGGUGCGCUGUUUUGUUUUGAGACAGCUUUGCUAGGUCUUUCUUUUCUGCACCUGACCAUAUUACCAGACAGUCCUCGAGAUGGGACAAGACCAGAGUCUGGACAACUAUUACAGUGGAUCUUUGUGUCAGAAACACAGAACAUAUUUUUAUAACAGACAAUACCCCUCCCCAUCUUCACAACAACCUAGUCAACAACCUAGUCUAACAGUUGACCAUGAUUACUACACCUCAUCUAAACAACAACUUAGUCAAUAUGACUUGACCAUGUUAACUUCUCCCCAUCUAAACAACAACUUAGUCAAUAUGACAACUUCUCUUCAUCUAAACAACAACUUAGUCAAUAUGACCUGACCAUGACAACUACACCUCAUCUAAACAACAACUUAGUCAAUAUGACCUGACCAUGAUAACUACUACAACUUAGUCAAUAUGACUAGACCAUGAUAACUUCACAACAACUUAGUCAAUAUGACUUCACCAUGAUAUUCACACCCUAUCUUCACAUGCACAACCCCAGGUGAGGUUUAGGUCUAAGAGAAUGGUUGGAACCAAAUACAAUAUGACCUGACCAUGAUAUUCACACCCUAUCUUCACAUGCACAACCCCAGGUGAGGUUUAGGUCUCAGAGAUGGUUGGAACCAAAUACAAUAUGACCUGACCAUGAUAUUCACACCCCAUCUUCACAUGCACAACCCCAGGUGAGGUUUAGGUCUAAGAGAAUGGUUGGAACCAAAUACAAUAUGCUUUUAGAUGUAUUUAAGUCCAGUUUAUUCUGUAAGUCCUUUUGCUAAGAGUCUCCGUGAGCUCCCUGGCUGUAGGUGCUGAUGUGUAGAUUCUGCAGUCAUUAGCAUACAUAGUAAUUUUAGCUUCUUGUAAGACAAAUGGCAAAUAAUUUGUAAAAAAUAGAGAAGAGUAAGGUGUGUUGGUUUGAUGACGUGUUGAGGGUUUCACACUCUGUGGGGUUAUAUUUACUUUACCACCUACUGUUAGUGCUUACAUAAGAUGGCUGAGAGACCGUUACUUUAAAAACGGGCUCAUAUUGUCAAUUAAAAUGUUAUAAUGUAGAAUGUUUUGCCAAUGUUAUAGGUAGAGUUUUCAUGUUGUAAUCCAAUGUAAUUAAAAUUGAACGCAUAUGUGCGUAGUUAAUACA